GAUGAACCGUACGAACGUUAUUCGGAAUCACUGGGCUUAAAGGGCUCGUAGGCGGCCUGUCGCGUCGGGAGUGAAAGCCCACUGCUUAACGGUGGGUCUGCUUCCGGUACGGGCGGGCUAGAGUAUGGCAGGGGAGACUGGAAUUCCUGGUGUAGCGGUGGAAUGCGCAGAUAUCAGGAGGAACACCGGUGGCGAAGGCGGGUCACUGGCUCAUUACUGACGCUCAGGCGCGACAGCGUGGGGAUCAAACAGG
rnacentral:rRNA from 1 species